GCUAAACAGUACUGGAGAGUGUUAAGGAAGAAAAAUGAACUAAUGUAAUUCUUUGCAGCAGACCAGGCUGAAACAUAAUAAGUGAAUAGACUUAUCUAUGCGAAAGUAGAACAAUGGUGUGUAAAGGGAUAGUUGAUGAGUUUCUCAUUACACAUAGUACAGUUGGGUCGUCGACCAAUGGUCGAAGAGGGACGAUAUUUGUCCCCAUGAAAUCUGAAUGAUCUUGCUUUUCUUUGAACAUGACAAAGGAUAAAGAAUGUUAAGAAUCUGG
rnacentral:lncRNA from 1 species